CCUACGGGAGGCAGCAGUGAGGAAUAUUGGUCAAUGGACGAGAGUCUGAACCAGCCAAGUAGCGUGAAGGAUGAAGGCCCUAUGCGUUGUAAACUUAUUUGAUAUGGGAAUAAAAUGUUCCUAGUGUGGGAAUUUGUAUGUACCAUAUGAAUAAGGAUCGGCGAACUACGUGGCAGCAGCCGCGGUAAUACGGAGGAUCCGAGCGUUAUACGGAUGUAUUGGGUUCAAAGGGAACGUAGGUGGAUUGUUAAGUCAGUUGUGAACGUUUGCGGCGCAACCGUAAAAUUGCAGUUGAAACUGGCAGUCUUGAGUACAGUAGAGGUGGGCGGAAUUCGUGGUGUAGCGGUGAAAUGCUUAGAUAUCACGAAGAACUCCGAUUGCGAAGGCAGCUCACUGGACUGCAACUGACACUGAGGCUCGAAAGUGUGGGUAUCAAACAGGAUUAGAUACCCCAGUAGUC
rnacentral:rRNA from 1 species